UGAAUACGAGACGCUAAGGCGUUGAAGUAGUGUAUAUCAUACUUCCAAGAAAAGCUUGCACUGUCAUAGAUAAAAAACGCCUGUACCAUAACCGACACAGGUGGGUAGGUAGAGUAUACUAAGGGGCGCGAGAUAACUCUCUCUAAGGAACUCGGCAAAAUAACUCCGUAACUUCGGGAGAAGGAGUGCCUUAUUUAUAAGGUUGCAAUAACAAGAUCCAAGCAACUGUUUAUCAAAAACACAGGUCUCCGCUAAGUCGUAAGACGAUGUAUGGGGGCUGACGCCUGCCCAGUGCCAGAAGGUUAAAGAAGUUGGUUAGCAAUAGCGAAGCUGAUAACUGAAGCCCUGGUGAACGGCGGCCGUAACUAUAACGGUCCUAAGGUAGCGAAAUUCCUUGUCGGGUAAGUUCCGACCCGCACGAAAGGCGUAAUGAUUUGGAUACUGUCUCGGAGAGGGGCUCGGUGAAAUAGACUUGUCUGUGAAGAUGCGGACUACCUGCACCAGGACAGAAAGACCCUAUGAAGCUUUACUGUAACUUGAAAUUGAAAUUGGACUUUAUUCGCGCAGUAUAGGUGGGAGGCGUUGAUUGUAAUCUUGCGGGAUUAUUGGAGCCAUCAGUGAGAUACCACCCUUGUAAUGUUAGAUUUCUAACUUUGAAUCAUUAUCUGGUCAAAGAACAGUUUCAGGCGGGCAGUUUGACUGGGGCGGUCGCCUCCUAAACGGUAACGGAGGCGUACAAAGGUUUCCUCUGAACGGUUAGAAAUCGUAUCUAGAGUGUAAAGGCAUAAGGAAGCUUGACUGUGAGACCUACAAGUCGAGCAGGGACGAAAGUCGGUCUUAGUGAUCUGACGGUACUGAGUGGAAAGGCCGUCACUCAACGGAUAAAAGUUACUCUAAGGAUAACAGGCUGAUCUCCCCCAAGAGUUCACAUCGACGGGGAGGUUUGGCACCUGAUGUCGGCUCAUCGCAUCCUGGGGCGGUAGUACGUCCCAAGGGUUGGGCUGUUCGCCCAUGAAAGCGGUACGCGAGCUGGGUUCAGAACGUCGUGAGACAGUUCGGUCCAUAUCCGGUGUAGGCGUUAGAAUAUUGAGAGGAGCCUUCUUUAGUACGAGAGGACCGAGAAGGACAUACCUCUGGUGUACCAGUUAUCGUGCCAACGGUAAACGCUGGGUAGCUAUGUAUGGAGUGGAUAACCGCUGAAAGCAUCUAAGUGGGAAGCCCACCUCAAGAUAAGUAUUCUC
rnacentral:rRNA from 1 species